UCAUCAUGCCCCUUAUGACCUGGGCUACACACGUGCUACAAUGGACAGAACAAAGGGUAGCGAAACCGCGAGGUUAAGCCAAUCCCACAAAUCUGUUCUCAGUUCGGAUCGCAGUCUGCAACUCGACUGCGUGAAGCUGGAAUCGCUAGUAAUCGCGGAUCAGCAUGCCGCGGUGAAUACGUUCCCGGGCCUUGUACACACCGCCCGUCACACCACGAGAGUUUGUAACACCCGAAGUCGGUGAGGUAACCUUUUAGGAGCCAGCCGCCGAAGGUGGGACAGAUGAUUGGGGUGAAGUCGUAACAA
rnacentral:rRNA from 1 species